GUCGGCAUUAUAUUUUGUUGUACAUAUUAAUCAAUUUUAGGUAGUCAAGAGUACUUCUAAUCCGAUCAUCGCUUUUAAGAUUAUCAGUAUUCACACAAGGGUGCAUCGAGGCCCUUCAGCAGGUGCUCGUGUGUAACCUUUACAUGACCAAUCCUCAGCCUGUGUGUUUUGACCAUAUCUGCUCUGGACAUAUGUUUAAUGUAAAACAUUCCCCUUACUUGCCGUUUUAUUGUGAUAUGUAAAUGCGUCCGUUUUUUCCAUCACGUCAACGUCUACUUGUGGAUGUUCAGAAGCUUCUCGUGCUGUUCUGUCUGCAAGGUCGUUGCCUGGUAUACCUGCGUGUCCUGGCACCCAAAUAAAUAUGAUGGAUACAUUUUUGUUGUUUAGGUUUAAUAGUUCUGAUUGGGCCAGUUUAGUUAAAGCAUUAUUGGAAUAAAUUUGUGUUAAGUCUGUUAAUGCAUUUAUAUUAUCGCUUGCAAUAAUAAAUCUUUGAGUUUCAGACAACGAGGAACAGUGCUGAAGAGCUUUCCAGAUGGCAUAUCUUUCUGCGAAUCCUAUAGUCGACUGCGGAUUUAAGGUCCAUUUAUUUGUUAUCUGCGAGGCGAUCGCACAUCCUACUCCAUUUCCAGAUUUAGACGCAUCGGUAAAUAUGAUGUCGUAUUCUCCAUACUCACUACAUAUAGUUGUAAAUUUCUGUUGAAAUGUAUCAAUUGGGGUUUCUUUGCGUCCGAGUAAUAAGAGAUCACUUCUAAUUACUGGUUCUGAUAGCUUCCAUGGACUAUGUUCUUGUAUUUGUUCCUCUAAUAAGGGAGGUAGCAUUAUGUUGUUACGCUCUAUAUAUUCAGAGAAACGCACGACAGCUGGCCCAGUUAUU